rfam:Aedes albopictus isolate Foshan contig85162, whole genome shotgun sequence.
UAGCCUAGUGGUUAAGGCUGUGGACCGCCAAUUCGGAGACGGCGGGUUCGAUUCCCGU